rnacentral:rRNA from 1 species
AUACGGAGGGUGCAAGCGUUAAUCGGAAUUACUGGGCGUAAAGCGUACGUAGGCGGUUAUUUAAGUCAGACGUGAAAGCCCCGGGCUUAACUUGGGAACUGCAUUUGAAACUGGGUAACUAGAGUUUAGUAGAGGGGAGUGGAAUUUCAGGUGUAGCGGUGAAAUGCGUAGAGAUCUGAAGGAACACCAGUGGCGAAGGCGACUCCCUGGACUAAAACUGACGCUGAGGUACGAAAGCGUGGGUAGCAAACAGGAUUAGAAACCCCAGUAGUCC